GUACUCCUUCUAAUCUGCCCUGGAGACAUGGACAACCCCGGGAAACUGGGAUUAAUCCGUGAUAGGUCAUCUCAUCUGGAAGGAGAGAUGGCUUAAAGGGAUGCGCGGGCUUCUUCUGCGUAUUUGCUCCAGGAUGGGACUGCGUCCGAUCAGGCUGUUGGCGGGGUAAUGGCCCACCAAGCCAGUAACCGGUACGGGCCUUGAGAGAGGUGGCCCGGAGAUGGACACUGAGAGAAGGGUCCAGGUCCUACGGGGCGCAGCAGGCGCGAAACCUUCGCAAUGCGCGCAAGCGUGACGAGGUUAAUCCGAGUGAUUUCCGCUGAGGAGACCUUUUGUCUGCUGUAAAUAGGCAGGCGAAUAAGGGGAGGGCAAGCCUGGUGUCAGCCGCCGCGGUAAUACCAGCUCCUCGAGUGGUCGGGGCGAUUAUUGGGCCUAAAGCAUCCGUAGCCGGUUCCGUAGGUCCUCUGUUAAAUCCAACCGCCCAACGGUUGACCUGCAGAGGAUACCGCGAGACU
rnacentral:rRNA from 1 species